rnacentral:rRNA from 1 species
GAUGAACGCUGGCGGCGUGCCUAAUACAUGCAAGUCGAGCGAACAGACGAGGAGCUUGCUCCUCUGACGUUAGCGGCGGACGGGUGAGUAACAAGUGGAUAACCUACCUAUAAGACUGGGAUAACUUCGGGAAAACGGAGCUAAUAACGGAUAAUAUAUUGAACCGCAUGGUUCAAUAGUGAAAGACGGUUUUGCUGUCACUUAUAGAUGGAUCCGCGCCGCAUUAGCUAGUUGGUAAGGUAACGGCUUACCAAGGCGACGAUGCGUAGCCGACCUGAGAGGGUGAUCGGCCACACUGGAACUGAGACACGGUCCAGACUCCUACGGGAGGCAGCAGUAGGGAAUCUUCCGCAAUGGGCGAAAGCCUGACGGAGCAACGCCGCGUGAGUGAUGAAGGUCUUCGGAUCGUAAAACUCUGUUAUUAGGGAAGAACAAAUGUGUAAGUAACUAUGCACGUCUUGACGGUACCUAAUCAGAAAGCCACGGCUAACUACGUG